UAUUAACGUUCCGGAUGAUACACAAGCGAAGGUGAUAGAAUGUUGUGAUGACGAUUACUGCAACUCUGCUGUCACCAAACUCAUGAACCCACUCCUCAUCCUCCUGCCUCUCCUGAUGUACUUCUUGCAAUACUAAGGGUACAGCUACUGUAGAGGAAAUCAUUGGUUCUCGGAUGAUAAGUUUCUGCUGUACAAACGACUGCAAGUCUACACUGUUGAAGCUUUAUUUGUGACCCAACAUUAUUAUUAAGAAUGUAUCGACAAAGUUGAAUAAGUUAUAAUUCUCAUUGUUAGGGGGACAGGAAGCCUGUGUGUGUGUGUGAUUAUAAUGUCUCGAGCACACAGUCUGUAGUUUUGUAUGGAAGUUCCCUACCUCCCUAGGUCCAACAACUGACCGUUCAAAAAAUAUAACCCUAUCACAGUUGCCCAACUCCAGGUACCUAUCUACUACUACGUAAACAGAGGCAAUGGGUGAAAGGAAACAUGCCCAACAAUUUGUUCCGCCUGGGGGAUCGAACCCACGAUCCCGAUUAUGAAUCGAGAACGAAGCCACUGCAUUACAGGACCCGAUAUAGGUUGUAGUACUACAAGUAUACUACAGAGAAUUUAAUGAUUACCCUAUGGGGGCCUGACAGUCGAGUUAAUAGUGCUUGGGAUUCGUAAUUCUAAGGUUCCGCGUUAGAUCCCGGGUAGAGGCGGAAACAAAUGGGAAGUCUUUUUCACCCUGAUGCCCCUGUACACCUAGCAGUAAAUAGGUACCUGGGAUUUAGACAGCUGCUACGGGCUGCUUCCUGGGGGUGUGUAACAAAGAGGCGGCUCGGUCAAGGACCGGGCCGCGGGAUCGCUAAGCCCCGAAAUCAAGAUAAGCAUUGAUUUUAAGUUAUUUAAAACCAUUACACAAGACUCAGACUGGUAAGUUAACAUAAAUAUCGAAUACAGGUUGUUUAUUGAAUUUUUAAUAUUGUAUUGUCCCACUUGUAUUAACUUCAUCAUAAUUUAGGCUGGGCAAAUUAAUCUUUUAAUGUAUUUAAUCCCGAAAUAUUCUGUGCUGUAGAAUGUAGGUACUUGGUUGUUCCAAAAUGUAUAAGAGUUGCUUGUGCCUUUAUUCUAUAGCAAUUAUUAUAGGUAUAUAUCCAGAAGACAAGAUAAAAGUUUUGUUCUGAAGUGUACAUGUCUUAAUGUCAUGUGCUGUAUGAUAAUUGGAAGCUGUGUCUAAUGUUCCUUGAAGCAGGAACUAGCUUUUAACCCGAAUCUUUACCUUAAAUCCUUUAGUGAUAAAUGACUAUGCAAAAGCAGCUUGGAUUAUCCUAAGAUGUUAGAAACGUGAAAGUAUUUAGUUUUUUUUUUUAGUUGUAGGAAGUUAGUGAUUGUUGAAUGAAUACUUUUCUUUUGCAAGAAUUUCUUAAAUACCAGAUGUAUAAUUUUGACGCAUGCAAGAAAAAGAACACGUGCGCAACUGUUUCCAAUAAUUUGAUUUUAUGACCAGGUGUGCAAAACUACAUGUAAUUAUGGUCAAAUUACUAUUCCUAUUGCAGUGAAAACAUAAUUCAAAUGUCAAAAGUGGACUAAAUUCUUUACUAGUCAAUUAGGUCAUUUACCUUUCUAGAAAUGCGGUCAUAAUUAAAACAUUUAUAAAGCCUCUUAUACAAUUAUGGUAUAAAUAAACUUAAUGGCACUCCAAACUUUACUUACUUACUUACUUUGUAAUCGUUUUCUCGAUUUCAGAAAAUAUUAUAAGUGGCUUGUGAAAUACAAAUGACUUAAUUUCAGACACGGGUAUUACAUGUACAGUAUACAUCUGCAUGUAAAGUGAUAUCUGAAUCUUACUUUUCUAAAUGUAAUAUUUCAAAAGCAUUAAAAUGUGAAAUUUA